UCUAUAUUGUCGCAGUAAAUCAACUCUAUGAUGUCAAAUCGAUGAAGUUAUUUGUGUUGUAAAAAUUUUGAAAAUGAAGAUUGUCUAAAUUUUGUUAAAAAAAAAAUAUAGUUAACCUUCAAUAUUUUUCAUUUAUAACCAUGAUAACAUUUAUACAUCAGGACGUUUUAUGUGUACCUUGCAGGUUAAUAAGCAAUAUCUUCCUUUAGCUUCUGGGGAGUUUUCAAGUAGAGAUGUUCAUGCCAUCUGUUUGAUACUUUGAUUGUAGCCAUUCUGAGCAUUGGCAUUGUAUAUGUGUCUAAAUCUCCAACACUUCUUUGGGGCCUAGUUGCCAGCUAUCUAUUUAGAACUGCAUAUUUUUCCCAAGUAUCUAUCACCUCUAUCUGCAACCAUUUUAUUUUUCUUUCAAAAGAAUUUGAGUUAUUAAUGACAAAAUGUGUGCUUUUUAAUUAGUUUAA